AUGCACUCUGUUCCCGAUUUUGAAACAGUCUGCACUUGGGGGGGAAAUUACACAAUUCAGUCAAUACAGGUUUGUUAUGCAAACUCACAGCGAGUACCCGAGUCGCUAAGCGAAAUUCCAUCGAACAAAGUCAGAGACUUCACCAUGCUCUUGAAAACGAAGUUUGCUAAGCGAACUCCUAGCGAGACCCCGAUUCCCUAA